rnacentral:rRNA from 1 species
UACGUAGGGAGCAAGCGUUGUCCGGAAUCAUUGGGCGUAAAGCGCGCGUAGGUGGCCAUGUAAGUCCGCUGUGAAAGUCAAAGGCUCAACCUUUGAAAGCCGGUGGAUACUGCAUGGCUUGAGACCGGAAGAGGUUAGUGGAACUGCGAGUGUAGAGGUGAAAUUCGUAGAUAUUCGCAAGAACACCAGUGGCGAAGGCGGCUCACUGGCCCGAUACUGACGCUGAGGCACGAAAGCGUGGGGAGCAAACAGGG